rnacentral:rRNA from 1 species
UACGAAGGGGGCUAGCGUUGUUCGGAAUUACUGGGCGUAAAGCGCACGUAGGCGGACAUUUAAGUCAGGGGUGAAAUCCCAGAGCUCAACUCUGGAACUGCCUUUGAUACUGGGUGUCUUGAGUAUGGAAGAGGUGAGUGGAAUUCCGAGUGUAGAGGUGAAAUUCGUAGAUAUUCGGAGGAACACCAGCGGCGAAGGCGGCUCACUGGUCCAUUACUGACGCUGAGGUGCGAAAGCGUGGGGAGCAAACAGG